rnacentral:sRNA from 1 species
GCCAGGUGUGGAGGUGCACACCUGUAAUCCCAGCAGUCAGGAGGCUGAGGCAGGAGGAUUACAAGUUCAGAGCCAGCCUCAG